rnacentral:lncRNA from 1 species
CCACCUCCCACCCAGACCUGGGAUGGGGAGGCAGUGGGAGGAAACAGGUGCUGUGUGAGCAUUACUGGCUGACCGACUCUACCCCGGACACCCAUGGUCACAUCACCAUCCACCUCCUAGCUGAGGAGCCUGAGGAUGAGUGGACCAAGCGGGAAUUCCAGCUGCAGCACGUGCGUGCCCCAAGGAUGAGGGGAUGGGACAGGCAUUAGAGCUGAGACCCCUGAGAAGGUUGCCUCACUUCCUGGGUCCCUGGAGCCCUCUCUUUCGG